AUAUAUAAACGCGAGCGGCUCUGACGGAAAAACCAAAAGAAAUUAUGCUCAAUCGAAAGAGCUUGAAAAAAUAUCACUUUUGAAUCGAGAACAUGUAUCCGCAAAAUUCGUAUUGUCGAGUAUUUUGCAUUUAAAAGUGAAAAAAUUUCGACAAAGAAUGCAAAUGUUCAAUUUGUUGUUUGACAUUUGACAGCUCUAUGGUUUCGUUCAGAAAUUGUAAAUAUUUUUACGUCCGUCAUGCAUGUUGGACAGAUUGCUGGUGAGAGUGUGGGUAAGCCUAUUUAAAAAAAACGACUACUGUCAGUGUAAGAUGACACUGGUGACAGAUGACACACAAACAUGUUACAUGUAUUGUGCAUUGAUUGACGGGUAAAACCAUGGUAAAACCAAAACUUUGUGCUUUACCAGUCUGAAAUUAAGUUUAAUUUUCAGUAAACGGUCUAAAUGUUUGUGACUAACCUAAGCCCUCCUACGUGUACACGCUCGACGCAGCUAGCCAACUUUAUUGUCACGCGUGCAAUAGAGUACCUAUUAAAGGCCAAGUUCGGCCUGGCCAGCCAGGGUUCACGCUAGACAACGUCAACGAUUUAUUUGGGGUCGCCGUCAUCGAAAACGAUGAGGAGGAGGAGGACUAUACUUAUAUACUAACGAUGACACGGCACCGCCGCGUAAAACAAACCUAUGCCGAAAAUCAUAGUUUCAAGUAUUUUGAAUGCUGUAGCCAGAAGACUGCCAGACAAAUGUGGAUUAAUAAGGUUGUGGAGAUAAAAAAAAAUACAUCCACACUACAGCAUCCGAAAUCUCAAAAUCAUUUGCUUCUAUAUCGAAGAGCUCUCUGGAUUUUUUUGAUGACUUUCCGGUCACUUAUCUUGACAUAAAUGCUGAAGGAAUUAAUUAUGUCACUUUAAAAGGAGACGAAGAGCAGGACGGUAUUAUAAAACAAAGUUAAACAUCACGGCCCGAAGACCACCCAAAUGAUGAAAAUGUAUUAACUAGGUUCAGUUCUUUUCAAAUUUGUAUUAAGGGGAGAAAAUCCAAAAUUAAAAUUCAGAUAAAAACUUUAAUGUUUUAAGAAAUUGUAAGUCAUUUCAAGUUUUAGACAUUUUGAAACAAAAAAAUGUUUUGAGAAGAAUGUGUUUGACAGAUGGUAAAGCUGCGGUUUCUUCUGGGAUGUGGGGAUGCAUAGCGAGGAAUGUGUUUGUAAGAACCAAUACAAAUUG